GAUGAACGCUGGCGGCGUGCUUAACACAUGCAAGUCGAACGGAAAGGCUCCUGCUUGCAGGGGUACUCGAGUGGCGAACGGGUGAGUAACACGUGGGUGAUCUGCCCUGCACUUCGGGAUAAGCCUGGGAAACUGGGUCUAAUACCGGAUAGGACGAUGGUUUGGAUGCCAUUGUGGGAAGUUUUUUCGGUGUGGGAUGAGCUCGCGGCCUAUCAGCUUGUUGGUGGGGUAAUGGCCUACCAAGGCGUCGACGGGUAGCCGGCCUGAGAGGGUGUACGGCCACAUUGGGACUGAGAUACGGCCCAGACUCCUACGGGAGGCAGCAGUGGGGAAUAUUGCACAAUGGGCGCAAGCCUGAUGCAGCGACGCCGCGUGGGGGAUGACGGCCUUCGGGUUGUAAACUCCUUUCGCUAGGGACGAAGCGCAAGUGACGGUACCUGGAGAAGAAGCACCGGCUAACUACGUG
rnacentral:rRNA from 1 species